AGUAACCAGUCUGUGGAGCCUCCUCUAGUCUUCAAAGAUGUUGGUCCCUCUGUUGAUGCAAGGUCACAUCAGCAGAGAGGAAAGUCUCCUGAACCCAGAUGUUUGUCCAUGAAGAGCGAUCAGUCUAAUGGUCGAUCAAUUAACUUCAAAGAUGAUCGGUCUCAAGGUCGAUGGAUUGAUUUCAAAGAUGAUCGGUCUCAAGGUCGAUGGAUUGACUUCAAAGAUGGACGCCGUUCUUAUGACCCAGAAGAGGAGAGCUCAGAGGUUCCCACAGGUCCGUCUGCCC